UGGCGCCAUGUGCUGAGGAGAAUAGGCCCCGCCCCCUUUUCGGCGGGCUCUUCUCCCGGAGUUUGUGAGAUCUGGCAGGGGUUAAAUACAUCCAUAUAGCCUCAAGGGCUAUAUGUGAUGUAUUUUAGCCAUAAAAAGGUAUUAUACAUUGCUGCCCAGGGCGCCCCCCCCCAGCGCCCUGCACCCUCAGUGACAGUUGGUGACUGUUGGUGAAGUGUGCUGACAACAAUGGCGCACAGCUGCAGUGCUGUGCGCUACCUUAUGAAGACUGAAAGUCUUCUGCCGCCUGUUUCUGGACUCUGGACCUCUUCAACUUCGGCAUCUGCAAGGGGGGUCGGCGGCACGGCUCCGGGACGAACCCCAGGGUGAGACCUGUGUUCCGACUCCCUCUGGAGCUAAUGGUGUCCAGUAGCCUAAGAAGCAAAUCCAUCCUGCACGCAGGUCCCAGCAAACCUACCACAGCAUGAUGGCACAGAAACAAAGCUGUUAACCUUUUGAAUAUUAUGUUAUAUGAAGAUCCCCGGCACCCCUUGUUCACCAGUGUAUUACCUACAAAUCCAUUAAACAGGUCUGUUCUUCA